rnacentral:rRNA from 1 species
UACGGAGGGAGCUAGCGUUGUUCGGAAUUACUGGGCGUAAAGCGCACGUAGGCGGCUUUGUAAGUUAGAGGUGAAAGCCCGGGCUCAACUCCGGAACUGCCUUUAAGACUGCAUCGCUUGAAUCCAGGAGAGGUGAGUGGAAUUCCGAGUGUAGAGGUGAAAUUCGUAGAUAUUCGGAAGAACACCAGUGGCGUAAGGCGG